rnacentral:misc_RNA from 1 species
UCCCCGUUCCCCUUUCGGAGUCCUACUUCUUGCAUGUCAAGCCCUGGUAAGGUUCUGCGUUUUGCAUCGAAUUAAACCACACGCUCCACCGCUUGUGCGGGCCCCCGUCAAUUCCUUUGAGUUUUAGCCUUGCGGCCGUAGUCCCCAGGCGGAGUACUUAACGCGUUUGCUUCGGCACGGAGGGGGUCGAUACCCCCCAUACCCAGUACUCAUAGUUUAGGGCGUGGACUAC